CCUGGCCCUAAAAGCAUUGCAGGUCUGGCUACAGUAUCACAUGUGCAUCAGUAGGUUGCAGAGGAGAGAGAUUAUGUGUACUCUCAGUGUUCUGACCUGUGAACAUCUGAAUGAUUGGUAACCUUACACU